UACGGGGGGGGCCAGCGUUGUUCGGAAUUACUGGGCGUAAAGGGUUCGUAGGCGGCUUGCUAAGUCAGACGUGAAAUCCCUCAGCUUAACUGGGGAACUGCGUCUGAUACUGGCGAGCUUGAGUGCAGGAGAGGAACGCGGAAUUCCAGGUGUAGCGGUGAAAUGCGUAGAUAUCUGGAGGAACACCGGUGGCGAAGGCGGCGUUCUGGGCUGCAACUGACACUGAUGAACGAAAGCCAGGGGAGCAAACGGG
rnacentral:rRNA from 1 species